rnacentral:rRNA from 1 species
ACGGGUGAGUAAUGUCUGGGAAACUGCCUGAUGGAGGGGGAUAACUACUGGAAACGGUAGCUAAUACCGCAUAAUGUCGCAAGACCAAAGAGGGGGACCUUCGGGCCUCUUGCCAUCGGAUGUGCCCAGAUGGGAUUAGCUAGUAGGUGGGGUAACGGCUCACCUAGGUGACGAUCCCUAGCUGGUCUGAGAGGAUGACCAGCCACACUGGAACUGAGACACGGUCCAGACUCCUACGGGAGGCAGCAUG